UACGUAGGGGGCUAGCGUUGUCCGGAUUUAUUGGGCGUAAAGAGCGUGUAGGCGGCCAGGUAGGUCUGCUGUGAAAACUCGAGGCUCAACCUCGAGACGUCGGCGGAAACCAUCUGGCUAGAGUCCGGAAGAGGAGAGUGGAAUUCCUGGUGUAGCGGUGAAAUUCGUAGAUAUUAGGAAGAACACCAGUGGCGAAGGCGGCUCACUGGGCCGGUACUGACGCUGAGGUGCGAAAGCGUGGGGAGCAAACAGG
rnacentral:rRNA from 1 species